rnacentral:rRNA from 1 species
AUACGGAGGAUGCGAGCGUUAUCCGGAUUUAUUGGGUUUAAAGGGAGCGUAGGUGGGAUAUUAAGUCAGCUGUGAAAGUUUGGGGCUCAACCUUAAAAUUGCAGUUGAUACUGGUUUCCUUGAGUACGGUACAGGUGGGCGGAAUUCGUGGUGUAGCGGUGAAAUGCUUAGAUAUCACGAAGAACUCCGAUCGCGAAGGCAGCUCACCGGGCCGGAACUGACACUGAUGCUCGAAAGUGCGGGUAUCAAACAGGAUUAGAUACCCUGGUAGUCCGCACAGUAAACGAUGAAUACUCGCUGUUUGCGAUAUACAGUAAGCGGCCAAGCGAAAGCAUUAAGUAUUCCACCUGUGGAGUACGCCGGCAACGGUGAAACUCAAAUGAAUUGACGGGG